AACCUAUCAGACAAAGGCAAAAAAACAAACAUCGGAUCUGUUUUGGGCCUUUAGCUGUUUAAUAAGUGUUAAUCUAAAUGCUGUUUAAAUAGAACCGCCGAUACGUCACAAAAUUAAUUUGACCACAGUCAACGUACAACAAAAUGCAACACUGCCUGCACUCUGCAAAAUACAACUCUGUAAAAAGUAAUCGGUACAUGGAAAAACUUCUCUCGAAAUUGAUGUAUCUGGUACUUUGAAAUUUUUCAUUUCACACUUGGAUUGUCUUUGGAAUUUCGUCUUUGUGCAUUAUUCGCAGUAAAAUAUAUUUUACAUAAAGGACUUCAAGACAUCUAUUUAGAUAAAUAUUAAAAUAAUAACAAAGAUUGUCGAAAAUUCCUCUUAAUCCAUUAUUGAAAUAAAUUAGUUUAUUUGUAAAUCUACGAAAUAUCCGAGAA